rnacentral:rRNA from 1 species
AUUGAACGCUGGCGGCAGGCCUAACACAUGCAAGUCGAACGAGUGGCGGACGGGUGAGUAAUGUCUGGGAAACUGCCUGAUGGAGGUGGAUAACUACUGGAAACGGUCGAUAAUACCUCAUACCAUCAGAUGUCCCCCGAUGGGAGUCGCUGGGUGGUGGGGUAACGGCUCACCAAGGCGACGAUCCCUAGCUGGUCUUCGAGGAUGACCAGGAACACUGGAACGCAGCCACGUUCCAGACGCAUACGGGAGGCAGAAGUGGGGAAUAGUGGACAAUGGGCGCAAGCCUGAUGCAGCCAUGCCGCGUGUAUGAAGAAGGCCUUCGGGUUGUAAAGUACUUUCAGCGGGGAGGCGUUACCCGCAGGAGAAGCACCGGCUAACUCCGUGCCAGCAGCCGCGGUAAUUC